GCAGUCGAGCGGUAACAGGCGUAGCAAUACGUGCUGACGAGCGGCGAACGGGUGCGUAAUACAUGGGAAUCUGCCCUUUGGUGGGGAAUAACCCGGCGAAAGCCGGGCUAAUGCCGCAUAAGAUCUGCGGAUGAAAGCGGGGGACCGUAAGGCCUCGCGCCGAUGGAUGAGCCCAUGUCGGAUUAGCUAGUUGGUGAGGUAACGGCUCACCAAGGCGACGAUCCGUAGCUGGUCUGAGAGGACGGCCAGCCACACUGGGACUGAGACACGGCCCAGACUCCUACGGGAGGCAGCAGUGGGGAAUAUUGGACAAUGGGCGAAAGCCUGAUCCAGCGACGCCGCGUGUGUGAAGAAGGCCUGCGGGUUGUAAAGCACUUUCGAUGGGAACGAAAUGUGCCGGGCUAACACCCCGGCAAGCUGACGUUACUCAAUGAAGAAGCACCGGCUAACUCUGUGCCAGCAGCCGCGGUAAUACAGAGGGUGCGAGCGUUAAUCGGAAUUACUGGGCGUAAAGCGCACGUAGGCGGCGACGUAAGUCGGGUGUGAAAGCCCCGGGCUCAACCUGGGAAUUGCAUUCGAGACUGCAUUGCUGGAGUACGGAAGAGGAGGGCGGAAUUCCCGGUGUAGCGGUGAAAUGC
rnacentral:rRNA from 1 species